CCUUACCUGGCCUUGACAUCCAGAGAACUCUCCAGAGAUGGAUUGGUGCCUUCGGGAACUCUGAGACAGGUGCUGCAUGGCCGUCGUCAGCUCGUGUCGUGAGAUGUUGGGUUAAGUCCCGUAACGAGCGCAACCCCUAUCCCUGGUUGCUAGCAGGUAAUGCUGAGAACUCCAGGGAGACUGCCGGUGACAAACCGGAGGAAGGUGGGGAUGACGUCAGGUCAUCAUGGCCCUUACGGCCAGGGCUACACACGUGCUACAAUGGCGCGUACAGAGGGCUGCCAACUCGCGAGAGUGAGCCAAUCCCUUAAAACGCGUCGUAGUCCGGAUCGGAGUCUGCAACUCGACUCCGUGAAGUCGGAAUCGCUAGUAAUCGCGAAUCAGAAUGUCGCGGUGAAUACGUUCCC
rnacentral:rRNA from 1 species